GGGGUUGUAGUUCAAUCGGUUAGAGCAUCACCCUGUCAAGGUGAAAGUUGCGGGUUCGAGUCCCGUCAAUCCCG
rnacentral:tRNA from 1 species